rnacentral:rRNA from 1 species
UACGGAGGGAGCUAGCGUUGUUCGGAAUUACUGGGCGUAAAGGGCGCGUAGGCGGCUUGAUAAGCGUGCGGUGAAAGCCCGGGGCUCAACCCCGGGUCGGCCGUGCGAACUGUCGAGCUGGAGCACUGUAGAGGCAGGUGGAAUUCCGGGUGUAGCGGUGGAAUGCGUAGAGAUCCGGAAGAACACCGGUGGCGAAGGCGGCCUGCUGGGCAGUGGCUGACGCUGAGGCGCGACAGCGUGGGGAGCAAACAGG